AUGCCACGUGCAGGUCAUGGGCUGCCGUCGCCGCCUAGGAAGGCAGCUCCACCGUGCACUGGCGGAGGGAGAAGCCCCGUGUUUCCAGUUGGUCCAGGGCCGCGCCACCACACGCUGGGGGAUAGUGGUCGAGGGCAUCGCCUUGCCGUUGUCAUGGUCCGCGACUUCGCCGAGGUCGCCGCCUGCGCGUGCAGGCUGCGGUCCUCAGGCACUCUGCUCUUAGAGCCGCCUCUGCGCCGGAGGACGUCGACAUGCCACGCAUCGGAAGUCGAGGCCGAGCCAAGUGGCAAGGGGGCGCCAACACACCGCGUGCUGUGGAGCGCCGGGCGGUUGACGGCCACUUUCGGGAGCGUCAUCCUGGUAUCGCUCUCGAAGAGGCAGUUAGUAUUCGAGAAAGAAGAGGCAGUUAGAGAUCGAGAGAUUUCUGUCUUGGCCGUGCACGGGGCGAGUCUGCCGCUUGGAAGCUUUUCCGCCGGGGUGAGGGCCACCGCGGUAGCGGGCAACAGGCCGAACCGAGGGCUGCAGUCGUAG
rnacentral:rRNA from 1 species